UUACUACAUGGAUAACUGUGGUAAUUCUAGAGCUAAUACAUGCUAAAAAUCCCGACUUCGGAAGGGAUGUAUUUAUUAGAUUAAAAGCCAACGCCCUUCGGGGCUUCCUGGUGAUUCAUAAUAACUUUUCGAAUCGCAUGGCCUUGCGCCGGCGAUGGUUCAUUCAAAUUUCUUCCCUAUCAACUUUCGAUGCGAAGGUAUUGUCUUCGCAUGGUUGCAACGGGUAACGGAGGGUUAGGGCUCGACCCCGGAGAAGGAGCCUGAGAAACGGCUACUACAUCCAAGGAAGGCAGCAGGCGCGCAAAUUACCCAAUCCCGACACGGGGAGGUAGUGACAAUAAAUACUGAUACAGGGCUCUUUUGGGUCUUGUAAUCGGAAUGAGUACAAUUUAAAUCCCUUAACGAGGAACAAUUGGAGGGCAAGUCUGGUGCCAGCAGCC
rnacentral:rRNA from 1 species